GACGUAGGGCGCGAGCGUUGUCCGGAAUUAUUGGGCGUAAAGAGCUCGUAGGCGGCUUGUUGCGUCGACUGUGAAAACCCGCGGCUCAACCGUGUGGCUUGCAGUCGAUACGGGCAGGCUGGAAUUCGGUAGGGGAGACUGGAAUUCCUGGUGUAGCGGUGUAAUGCGCAGAUAUCAGGAGGAACACCGGUGGCGAAGGCGGGUCUCUGGGCCGAUCUUGACGCUGAGGGGCGAAAGCGUGGGGAGCGAACAGG
rnacentral:rRNA from 1 species